rnacentral:rRNA from 1 species
UAAAAAUUUGAUCUUUGUUUUAAUAUUUAGCUGUAAGUUUAUAAUGCAUGUAAAUUUUUGUUGGAGUUUUUAUUCUUAAUGAUUUAUUUUUAUUUUCAGUGUUUAAUAUUUUUAAUCUAUUUUUUUAGUUAAAGUUAUACUUUAAAAAACUAAAAAAUGUUGUGCCAGCAUUUGCGGUUAUACAUCAGGUUUAAGUUAAUUUAUUUUAGAGUUUAGUUUAAAAUUUUUUAUUUUUUGUAUUUGGGUGAAAUCUAUAUUUGUUAAUUUAAAUUUUCUAUUUAGGCUUGUUAAUAAACCAGGAUUAGAUACCCUGUUAUUCAAGAUUAAUUUUUUCUUCUAAGGUAGUAUAUUUUAUUAAUUGAAAUUUAAUAGAUCUGGCGGUUUUUAAAUCUUUUUAGAGGAACCUGUAAUUUAAAUGAUAAUCCACGAUUUUUUGUACCUUUAAUAUCUUGUAUAUCGCUGUCGUUGAAUGUUAUGAAAAUUUAAUUUUCUUUUUCUUUUUUAGAGGUAUGUUAGGUCAAGAUGCAGUUAUUUAAAGGUUAUUAUGGGUUACUUUUAAUUUUGUUUAUUGGAUAUUUAAAUUUUGAUUUUUUUUGAAUUUGGAUUUAAUAGUAAUUUUUUCUAAUUGAUUAAUUGAAUUUAGCUCUUAAUUAUGUACAUAUCGCCCGUCACUCUCAUAAAUUGAGAUAAGUCGUAACAAAGUAGAUGUACUGGAAAGUGUAUCUAGAAA